rnacentral:rRNA from 1 species
UACAGAGGGGGCAAGCGUUGUUCGGAAUUACUGGGCGUAAAGGGCGCGUAGGCGGCCUUCUAAGUCGAACGUGAAAUCCCCGGGCUCAACCCGGGAACUGCGUCCGAUACUGGUGGGCUCGAAUCCGGGAGAGGGAUGCGGAAUUCCAGGUGUAGCGGUGAAAUGCGUAGAUAUCUGGAGGAACACCGGUGGCGAAGGCGGCAUCCUGGACCGGUAUUGACGCUGAGGCGCGAAAGCCAGGGGAGCAAAGCGGG